UAUGGCCAUAUCAUGUUGCAAUACCGGUUCUCGUCCAAUCACGGAAGUUAAGCAUCGUUGAGCUUGAUCAGUAUCUAGAUGAGUGACUGCUUUGUAAUACCAUGUAAUG